rnacentral:ribozyme from 16 species
UCAAUGAGAACAGAGAAAAACAAUCAAAAGAGAGAGAGAGGAGUUCUUUUUUUCUUGUUCUUCUUUUCUUUAUCAUCUUAAUUUCCGUAGUACAUUUUUCAACAUACUAUCUCUCGAUGUGUUUGUACAGUACGGACUGUCAAGACUGGGUAAGCGGUAAACAUUAUAAUACUGAAAGGCUUAGAUUUUAA